AUCCAUAUUUCACAAGUAUUGGGUAUAACGAAAGAAAACUGACAAUAUAAACCUUAUCUAAAGCGACGUGCGCGCACCUCCAGUGUAGGCAAACGACUGCGGGGAGCGGGUGACCGGGGUUGCGGACACUCCGGCGCCUUCGUAACGGUUUUUAAUAUUUUCGCUUAAUAGCGCCAAGCAGGUCACCGGUGACCUCGUCAGGUUUUUCGAAAAUAUUUUGAAAACUAUCGAACCGAUUUCACAUUAAAUUAGAUAUACAUUCAUAUCUUAAUAUUCCGCGCCAAAUUACAUUAAAAAGAUUUUUUAAAAAUAAAAUUAUUUCUUCUAUGGCAUCUAACGUGUUAAUAAAGGAACUUAUUUUUCCUUAGAGGGUAAAUUAUCAUAAAAUUGAUGGCAGUCACGAGGAAUGACAGUCUUUAAUUGCUGUAAGUGUUCAUAUUUACUUUUCAGUAUAGGCAAUCUAGACCCAUAAAGCAGUGGUACGUCGCUUAUCAACGUUGAAAUAUUCUUUGGUCUUCUUGGUUGUGGACUGAAUUCACUUUCGAAGUGCUUCUUAAACUCGAUAGUUCCAUUAGGAUUAUAUUUCAAAACUCUUAGACCUACAACACAAUCAUCACCAGAAACACGCCCAGGGCGUAUAGAAUCAUAAAUUUGGUAUCCUUUAAGACUGUAGUCUUUGAAGAAAGUAUGAUCGGGUUGUUGGACUUUGUAAGGAAACGGUUUCUUUCGAGCAUCUUUAGUAAUAGAUGCAUAUUGAGAUGGCAGAAAAAUCUCCACAUUUUUCAGUUUUCUCUCAACAAGUGAAUGUACCGAAUCGACCUCCAUUUGGGUGUGGCCCUUUUCAAGAUACUUUUGUGUAAUGGUAACAUUCUUGUCCAUUGCUAAUCUGAGAAGAGCGUUAGAAACAAUACUGUUCCUAUUUUGUGCAGUACAACCAUCCGUCCAUAUAACUACAUCCUUAAGGUUUUCUUGUAACAGUUUCGUUAGGUAAUUUACAAAGAACGAUGCAUACGUGGUAGCUUUCAGAUCACAGGCAGUCUCAUCGAACCAAUAACAAAUAACUUCGUCAGUACCAAUAUUAUAAACUGUGAAAUUAUGCACUGCUAAUUUGGUUUUAAAAUAAAGCGCACUGGCUGACAAAGUAGGACAUAAUUAUAAUAAUAUAAUAAUAAUAAAAAGUAUUUAUUGUCAGUUUCUUACAUUACGUUACAAAAUAAAUUAAAUAAGAGCACCCGUAGACAUUUUUCAGCAAACCCGCCAUCGAACUAGACAUGGGCCUGUGUCUCGAUUGGCGAGCAGCGUAAUAAAUGUUCCAUGGUAUAUAAAAGAAACUUAAAAAAGAUAUCUUAAUAUGGUACAAUAAUUCCCAAUCUAGAUUGCUCUGUGCUUUGGGAAUCCGUGCAAUACUAUUAAACAAGAUAAAAAUAAGAAAAAUUAUAAGAAUGUAUAUAACUAUUCCUACAAAAAUGCUCUCAGCUGCCAGUUCACAUUUAAAAUAAUAAAUACGAGAUGUGUAUGCGUGUAAGUGUAUAUGUCUGUUGUGUCAUGUAAUUGUAUGUUUAAAUCUAUUAUUAUGUUUGGUUAGGUUAGGUGUGUGUGAGUUAAAUGUCUGUUGCCAAAAGGUUUUCAGUUUCUUGAUAAUUUAAAGUUAAUAGCCAUUGGUGAAUUUUAGAUUUACAUUCCCGUUUGGUACAAGGGUACAAUUUUAACUUCUUGUUGGCUUUAUUGUAGAUUCGACCACUCAAUACUUUAAAGUGUCGCGCCGCUAGGGCAGUUCUGUGUUUGAGAAUGGUGCAAACACGGUCAUGUCUACGUUUUCGAGUACGAAGCGAUGGGUCAUAAAUAUUUAGCUGCAGGGAACACAUUUAGUGAUCUACAUUACAGUUUCAGAAUGGGUAUAAAAACUAUCAGCUGUAUUGUACAAGAAGUAUUUGAAGCAUUGUGGGAAACCCUUUCUCCAAUUUAUAUGAAACUACCAUCGGAAGACGAAUGGUUAACAAUAGCAAAAAAUUUCGAGACCAAUGCAAAUUUUCCUCAUUGCUUGGGAGCCAUUGACGGAAAACAUAUUAGAAUCAUCAAGCCAGAAGAAAGUGGAUCAAUGUUUUUCAACUACAAGCUCUAUUUCUCAAUAGUAUUAAUGGCCGUGGUAGACACAAACUAUAAUUUUGUUUUUAUUGAUGUUGGAGCCUACGGCAAAGAAUGCGAUUCAGCAGUAUUUAAAGAAACAGAAUUUUGGAAAAGAAUAGUAGGCGAUAAAUUAAAUAUUCCUCGACCUAAGCAGUUGCCAGGUGCAGGCAGUGAGUUACCUUAUGUAUUUGUUGCUGAUGAAGCUUUCGCUUUACAUCAACACGUACUUCGUCCUUACGGUGGGCAUCAACUUGACUCAAUAAAAAAAAAUUUCAAUUAUCGUCUCACAAGAGCGCGACGCUACGUCGAAUGCGCAUUUGGUAUUUUAUCCAAUAAAUGGAGGAUUUUGCAUAGACCAUUAAAUGUUUCAACAGAUACUGCUGUUAACAUUGUAAAAACAUGCUGCUUAUUACAAAACAUAAUUCAUAAAGUAGAGGGUAUUGCUAAUAAUGCUACUGACACUGCUAGUUCACACAUGGUGUCUACUCUAUGCCAUUUGCCUCGUUCCCAUUCAACACGAGGUAAUGUAACAGCAAAUAUGAUUCGUAACAAAUAUGCAGAGUAUUUCAUGUCACCAGUAGGGCGUGUACCAUGGCAAAAUCAACAUGCAUAAAAAUAAUGAAAAUAAAAUGUUACUUACCAAAAUCAUUUUUUUCUUUCUCGGACAUCGUUUCAAAACCUUCAUUUAACGCAAGACAAAUUUCUCUCCAAGCGGCAAAACUCGACUGUCUAUUUUUAUAGCACUCUUGGGUUUUGUCCCACAGUACAGGCCUAUUUUCAACCAAACUUAUUAACAAUUCCAUGUCAAUAUUACCCAUUUUUAAAAGAACGCAGGUAGACGGCACUCAAUUAACAGAAAACAGGCAAUACGUCCGGCAGCGUCAACACGCACCAAUACACUGGCGUGGAUGACCGCCAUUUCUUACACCGGACCGGUGUCCGUCGCGCCGAGGGGAAGGGGUGGUGCAUCCGGCGUAAAUUGUUCGCCGGACCGAUGUCCGGUGCAUGUACAUACAUUCAUUAUAAUUCAUACACCACCGCGAAUCCGGCAAAAAACACGGUCCGUUAUCCGGUGAAAAAAACGGACGUCUACAAGCGCUCUAAUUCCCCUUUAAACUUCAUUUUAUUUAAAUCUACCAAAUUUUAGUUUUUUUUUGAUAAUUUAAUACUUUUCUCUCUAUAACUUUUUAAAAGUUUACUUGUGUUUUUUAAAGAUCUUUUCAAUUUUUUACACCUCGGUGUAUCCUUAUAGUCAUUUUCUUGUUCCCAGUUUUUUCUCGGAGUUGUCGGUCUACAUUCUUCUUCCUCCAUAGUAUUUUUUUAUUUUUCAUACCGGGAUAAACCCUUGUUGGUGGUAUAACUUUUAGUUCGGAUGACAUUUGAGCUAGUAAAAAACAAAAACAAAAAAAAAAUCAUGGAAUAUGCAAAGUAAAUCUACAACAUAAUUGCAGACUAAAAGAGAUUUUUGUACAUUUACAUACGUUAAAGUUUUGUGCUGGCUUGAAUUAUGAUAACGAAGAAAUGUAUUUCCUUCCCGAUUUACAUACGAGACUAAUGCCCCGUAUUCAUGGUAAACAUUUGUUUAGCAACAGUUGCUAAACAUUGUUGGUGAGCGGCGAGAAUGUUGCUAGCAACUAUGUUUAAAUCAAUACAGGUUGUCCACACGCCAGUCUGCGUUAAAAUGUUGCCCGAGGAGGUAGUGUUGUUGUGUUCUCUGUAUCAGAUGUAUAGAAUCUCUAAUAAAAAAAAGAGAAAAAGAUGGUGGAUUCGAAAUUAUCUUUUGCAAAGGGAAAAUUUGAUGAGUGACCUCAGAAUGACAGAUGGAUCAUUUUGUAACUUUACGAGAAUGUCGAAAAGUGAUUUCGAACAUCUUCUAGAAAUGAUUGGUCCAUCAAUAGCCAAAAGGGAAACAAAUAUUCGUCAGCCAGUUUCACCUCAAACGAGGCUGGCUAUAACAUUACGGUAUCUUGCAACCGGAGAUUCAUACAGUUCUCUUUCAUACACAUUCAGAGUAUCAAAACAAUUGAUUAGCAAAAUUAUACCAGAUGUAUGUCAAGAACUAAUUAACUCACUAGCAGGAUAUGUCAAGGUACAAGAACACUAUUUGUGUAAUCAAGUAUUUUAUUAAUUAAAAAACACAAAAAAAACAGUGUAUGCUAUUGCGUUGAUUCAUCACUGAGAUAGUUAACUAAGUUUAGUAUAGCCGAAUCUUCUGUUUCGUCUUGUAAUGCAUCUAGUCUAUUUGUUUCGUGUCUCUCAAUUUCCCUUAUUUCAGUUUCCUGAACAUUAUUUGGUGUUGAUGAUGGAUGAGAAGAUGCCGUUUGAUAUCCAUAUGUAUUAUAUCGUCCCAUUUUUAAUUCAUACAGUAUAUUAUUAAUAUGGUACUUUGCCUGUGUCACGGCUUGGUCAUCUUUAACACUUCUUAAUUCAGCAGCAAUAUAUUCACCAUAUAUAUCAAAUGGAUCCUUCUUCUCCUUUUCAUCCAUCUUUUUUUUAGCACUUUUCAAAACCUCUAAUAUUUCAUUUGAUUCAUCUGUCUUAUUUCUUUUCCUCGAAGAUGUAGAUGUUGUAGCAUUCGGCCUUGGUGAUUGAGAUGGCUCUGACUCCAUACCACUUUCAAGUGCAUUGUUUUCAUCUACCUGUAAAUUAUUAUCUUAUUAUAUAUUUAUUUAUUUUUUAGGUUCCAAGUUCGGAACAAGAAUGGAAACAAAUAAGUCGUGAAUUCGAAAUACGAUGGAAUUUUCCACAUUGCAUUGGGGCCAUUGAUGGGAAACACGUUAUGAUUGUGGCGCCAAAUAAUUCUGGAAGUGAAUACUACAAUUAUAAAAAUCAGUUCAGCAUGGUACUUAUGGCAAUUGCAGAUGGCAAUUACAACUUUAUUUACGCAAAUUAUGGAGCUAAGGGUCGGUCGUCCGACAGUGGAAUAUUUCAGGAAACACCGUUUUAUAAUGCAUUGUUAGAAAACUCACUUAAACUGCCACGGCCUGAACCAAUAACACAAGGCGGAACAGAAAUGCCGUAUGUAAUUGUAGGUGACAGUGCUUUCGCGCUAACGGAGAACAUCAUGAAACCAUAUCCUGGCAUUCAUGAACGUGGGAACAAAAAGCGUAUAUUCAAUUACAGACUAUCAAGAGCUAGGAGGAUUAUAGAAAAUGUUUUUGGCAUUUUAUGUGUGGUGUUCCGUGUAUUCACUAAACCUAUUCCGUUAAAACCAGCCAAUUGUGAACUCGUGGUAAUUGCUUGUGUAUAUUUACAUAACUUCUUAAGACGUAACUCAGUUUCCAGAUCCAUAUAUACACCUCCACAAACUUUUGAUUUUGAAGACUCUGAAGGUAACCUAUUAGAAGGUUCUUGGCGAAGGGAACUAAGUUCGUUUCCUAUGAUUGAUUUGCAAAGACGGGGCAGGCCUGCAUCACAAUCAGCUCUUUGUAUUAGAGAACAGUUUGCCGAUUACUUUAUAACUCCAGAGGGAAGAGUUCCAUGGCAAAAUAAUGUAGCGUAAUUGUAAUAAUUUUACAGACAAUAGUAUAAAACAAUUAUAUACAAAAACAACUUACUGUUUUAUUCAUAGUAUCCGUUUCACCAGAAGUAGUUGCACCACAUAACAAAAAAUCCAAUGGCUCGUAAUAAAUCCAUUUACAUUUUUCUAUUACGCCGCUGCCUGUAGUUUUUUUUGCCGACAUCUUUUUUUUCUCUCUAGUAAAUUGAGUACGCAGUACAUGUAUUUUAGUUUCUACGUCUUUUUUGGGUAUAUUUAGGACUUGAGAAAUUUCUUCGAAUGCAUCGUUCUUUUUGUUUCUAUCUUUGUAUUCUUUUAUAGAACAAUCCCAUAAUAAUGGUUUUGAUUGAAAUAAUUCUAUUAAUUGCAUUAUUUUAUCAUUGCUCCACACUACUGCCAUGUUUAUAAACUGUUGCAAACUCGUCCACACACGUCAACAAUUGUCGCUAAACUGAUGUUUAAGCCGCGUUUUCACUUGGCGACAUGUCGCAGAUACUUAUCGCUCGACAUUCACGUAGUUGUCUCUGCAAAAGUUGUGGGACAAUGUCCCGCGACAUAUGACUUGUUCACAUUGGCCAGUCGCGACCAGUAUGUCGCCCGAGGAGGUAGUGUUGUUCAGUGCAGCUUACAUAAUAAUUCGGAAGACCAUAGCAAAACGUAAAAAAAAGAGGUGGUGGGUCCGAGAAUAUUUGCAACAAAGGGAAAGUUCAAGUUUACUAAGCAGUCUAAGGAUGCGCGACGGAUCUUUCGAAAAUUUUACUAGAAUGUCUAGAACCGAUUUCGAGAUACUUUUAAAUAUGGUUGGGCCGGCCAUAGUCAAGCAAGAUACAAAGUUUCGAAAAUCUAUCGACCCUCACAUCAGACUCGCAGUAACAUUGAGAUACUUGGCAACUGGAGAUAGCUAUGGUUCAUUGUCCUAUACUUUCAGAGUGUCAAAACAAGUAAUUUGUCAUACUAUACCAAAAGUUUGCCAAGAAUUGAUAAAGGCAUUAAAUUCUUUUGUAAAGACUCCAACCAAUGUAAAUGAAUGGAAAGAAAAAUCACGUAAUUUUGAAAUAUUAUGGAAUUUCCCUCACUGCAUCGGAGCGAUUGACGGAAAGCAUGUGUUACUAGAAGCGCCACCAAAUUCUGGCAGUGAUUAUUAUAAUUAUAAAGAAAAUUAUAGCUUGGUUCUCUUAGCAAUUGUGGAUGCCGAGUAUAACUUUGUAUAUGUUAACUGUGGUGCAAAAGGGAAAUCGUCUGACAGUGGAGUGUUCCAGGAAACUCCAUUUUAUAAAGCACUUAAUGAACAGCAACUGAAUUUACCAGAUCCCGAGCCACUGACCCAAGGUGGUCCGAAUAUAACAUACGUUCUGGUGGGAGAUAGCGCAUUUGCUCUAUCGGAAAAUAUGAUGAGGCCCUAUCCCGGCAUUCAUGAAAAGGGAAGCUUAAAGCGGAUUUUCAACUACAGGCUCUCAAGAGCAAGAAGAAUAGUUGAAAAUGUUUUUGGCAUUAUGUCUGUAGUGUUUCGCGUAUUUCGUAAAGCUAUCCCAUUACGUCCAGUAAACGCUGAAUUAGUUGUAAUGGCAUGCGUGUACCUACAUAAUUUCCUGCGACGUAAUACAUCUUCAACCGCGCAUUAUACACUAAAUACCACAUUCGAUUUCGAAGACGCUGCCCAUAAUGUUGUGGAAGGUUCGUGGCGAAGGGAAUUGAGAAAUAAUAAUAUGAGAAACUUAAAUAUUCAUGGCAGGCCUCCUCCUCAACCCGCUCAGGUAAUAAGAAACCACUUUGCUGAAUAUUUCUCCAGUGCUCAAGGAAGUGUCCCAUGGCAAACAAAUCAAGCAUAGUCUGUUAAAAAUUUGAAUGGAGUUUUUUAUUGUCUAGGUUUAAUGACCAAGGAAUAAAUGAUAAGAAUCUUAGUGUCCUUAGGCACAUAUUGAAAAACCACUAAUAAUAAAUAAAAGAUUUCAUUAAUUUUAAGUAUUUAUUUAUUUCCCUUUGAUAUUUAUUUCUUAUAUAUAAAUGUUUAUAAAAGUGACAGAAAAUCAAGGUUAUUAUUAUAUUAUAUUCUCAAAUUGUCGAAAUUCUAUGUGAGUUGGUUCUGCAGAUGCUCCAUUAUCAUUAUUAACAUGAGAGGCAUUAGCAGUGACGAUAUUAUUAUUAACAGAAUUUGUUGAAUAGGAUGACUGUUGAGAAGCAGAACGGUAUCCAUAACUUUGAUAACUUUGAGUAUCGCUUGAAUUAGAUCCCAUUGCGUUUUCUGUAUAGUUAUAUUUUCCCAUCCUAGCCUCUAAUAAGAUAUUAUUAAUAAAGUACUUCGUCUGUAGCACAGCAUGUUCAUUCUUUAAGCGGUCUACACACCAAAGCCGCUGACCCGGCGGCACAGCCCGGCGGCUUAGUGCCGGCGGGUUAACCCGGCGGCUUCAGAAUGUCCAAGCCGAACGACUUUGCCGGCGGCAAUACCGGCGGCACGACAGCCGCGGCAUGUGGUGUUCUAGUAAUUGCCAAAUAGUCGUAGAGAUUGGACGUGUGUGUUGCGAAUAAUUCAGAAGUAGUAUUUUCAGAUUGACAUGGAGGAGGACGAUAACAGUGAUUUAAUAAUAGCAGUUUGUGGAGUUAUUAUCGGUGGAUCCCUCAACACACGAAAGUGUUGGGUUAGGCCAAGUUUAAUGAGUCGCAAUAAAUACAGUACUUGUCAAAGAUUAAGUGAUUUAAGGGAAGACGACUUGGUUCUAUACAAACCCAUUUCUUUUAAGACUUUCCUGUCAUUAACCAGUACCGACUUUGAAUAUUUACUGAAUAUUGUUGGACACAAAAUAGCUAAACAAGACACAAAUUACAGAAAAGCAGUUUCACCAGUAGAAAGAUUGUCAAUAACGUUAAAAUACCUAAGCUCAGGAAAUUCUUUUAGUAGCCUGUGCGACGUCUUUAAAGUAUCUCCUCAACUAAUUUCAAGCAUUAUUCCUGAAGUAUGUGAUGCUUUAGUUGAAGGACUUUCAGAUUAUGUGAAAAUUCCAAGGAGUCAGGAAGGAUGGAGAGAAAUUGCAGAUGAAUAUUUAAAAAGAUGGCAAAUACCCAAUUGUCUUGGGUCAAUGGAUGGGAAACACAUAAAACUUCAAUGUCCCCCAAAAAGUGGAAGUGAUUAUAUAAACUAUAAAAAAUAUUUCAGUAUUGUGCUCUUUGCUUUGGUAGAUGCUGAUUACAACUUUUUGUACGCUAAUGUGGGAUGUCAGGGUCGGAUUUCAGAUGGUGGGGUUUUUAAUAAUUCAGCAUUAUGUCGAUUGUUAAAUGAUAAUGAAUUGAAUAUACCACAUAAAACCCCUUUACCCGGAAGGAAUCUACCAGUACCGUAUUUUUUUUUGGGUGAUGACGCGUUUCCUCUGCAACCCCAUAUUAUAAAGGCUUAUGAUGGUAAUCACACAAUGGGAUCAUCUAAGAGGGUUUUUAACUAUCGCGUAUGUCGAGGGCGAAGAGUAGUUGAAAACGUGUUUGGGCAGUUAACACACAAAUUUAAGAUUUUUCAUAGACCUAUUCAGCUAAUCCCAGAAAAAGCUACUACUGUAACUUUGGCGUGUAUACAUUUAUUUAAUUAUAUCAAACGAACCGCUGCAACUCAGCAAAAUGAAUACGAUACUGAAAAUAAUCAAGGAGAAAUCUUUCCCGGUGAAUGGCGUAGACAUCUUGAAAACGACAGUUGCUUAGAUAAUAUGUCAGGAGAAGACAAUCAAACCUCGGAUACUACAGUGACCGCUGAGGAUACAAGAGUGGAGUUGACUCAUUAUUUUCUUUCUAGUGUCGGAGGAUUAGAAUGGCAAUAUAACCAAUAACUCAACUCAUAUAAUCAAUAUUAUUUUUAAUCAUUAAAGUAGUUCCAUGUAUUAUCCAUUAAAUCUAAAAUCGUAAAUUACACAGUGAGAUACACUUUUAUUGUGAUUCGUAUAAUAAAAUUUUAAACAAAAUAAGAAAUGUGUUUUUGUAAACCAAUAACAUGAUAUUAACUAUUGGUAGAAGUGUCACUAAACUAAAAUUAAAACCUUGCUAUUCCUUACGCACAUAUGUCAAGCUCUACUCGUGUGAAGGGAAUAGUCAACACUAAUUUUAAAUUUAACUUUAAUGGGGCUACCUAUAGCUACCUUUAUUAUACCAAAAAGAAAAUUAAAUAUUUAUAACAUAUUUUGAAGAUUACUUUAUAACACUAUCAGAAGGAUUUAGAGCUAGGUAUUCUUCAGCAAAUGUUUCUAGUGACGAAGGUUGAAUUGUUUGUGGAUCUGAGUUUGUUUGGGCAGAGUAUUCAGAAGAAGUUAAGUUAUUUGUAGAAGGGCUUACAACCGCCUGUUGUAGUGAAGAUGCUGUAUAGUAUCCUGGAUGACUGUGUGAACUAGAAACACUACUUGGUCUUGCAAAAUCCGUAAAUGUAUCGGAUCUAUAUCCAGUUUCGGCUUCAAAUAUUAUAUUGUUGAUCCGAUGUCUCACAAUAGCUUUCAUUUGUCGAUCCAUUUGUCUUAACUGACCCGCAAUAUAAUCUCCAAAUAAACCAUCCUCAUCUUUUGUCACAUUUGGUCGUUGGGAGACAUUCUUCAUAAUAUUCAAUGCUUCGGAUAUCAACUCUUUAUUAGGGUUGAUUUUAGGACGUUUAUUUCGUUGCCAAGUUGUAUUUUCUGGCGACAUCUGUGGUAAAUCAUUAUGAUUUGAUUGUGAAUCUCCUGGUGACAUCUGUGGUAAAUCAUUUUGAUUUGAUUGUGAUUCUCGUCUCGAUUGUGAAUCGUGGCUCGUCGACGGUGUGUCCUGCGAAAAAAGACGAAAAAGACUGACGUUUUACUUUAAUUUAAUAAAAAAUAAAUAAGUAUCUCUAGUCAAAAUCAACAUUUAUUGUGUAUUUUUUUAUUAUGGAUUUUAUUAAAGGCACUGAAUAAGUCUUCAACAUUUCAAUUACUUUUUUUUCAAACACAUUUUUUUUACCUGAGUGGCAACUAUUUUGCCAAUGCCCGGGAAAGGGUUAAAAUGUAAAUACCAAGAUACACUAAUAAAUAAACUAAUAUUAUAAUUAUAUGUCUAUGGGGCCCUAGUUGCCUGAUUAUAAAUAAAAAAAAAAUAUAUCUUUACUUACAGUAUCGGUGGUUCCAGUAGGCACAUUUUUGUUCCGCAGAAAAUUUAGUGAUUUGUAGGCAAACCAUUUACUAUGAUAAAUACCAUCAGUACCCGCACCAGACUUAUUUGAAUUAUCUUCUUUUUUUUUCUCUCGGUAAUAAUGACUAGUUAAAUUUUUUAUCUUUCUCUCGAUUUCCGGAACAUCAGUAGCAAAUUCACUGGCAAUUUCAUUAAAUGCGUCGUAACGCUUUGGCCGGCUUUUGUAGUCACGGUUUUUUGGGUUCCAUAAUAUUUCUUUUAAAUGAUAGAGGUCUAUUAGUUUUAUAACUGUUGCAUCGUCCCACUCCAUAUUGGUUAGUUGAUAAAAAUAAAAGUGCCGACACUUCACAACAACAGAGAAUGAAUAAGUGAUACGUCACUACUCUAUGAAAGCCGGCGGGCAACUGACUGAGUGAGUGGAGAGGGAUGCCGUCGGCAUCGGCAUGCUGCCCCGCCGGCUUGCCCGCGCGGGCGCAAGCCGGCGGCAUGAUUGUACAAAAUAAGGCCGGCGGGUUGGGCCGGCGAUCCGUGCCGCCGGGUCAGCGGCUUUGGUGUGUAGACCGCUUUAUAUUUCUUAACUCUGAAGCUAUAUAGUCGGCGUAAAUUUGAUAUUCAUCUUUUGGUUGAUCCAUCCUGGCUUUUGCACUCUUCAUUAUUUCAUAUACCUCACUCAGAUCAUCUUUUUUCCUUUUAUUUUGAGUAUUUGUAAGCGGCAUUGGUUGCGUUGGUAAUGGUGGCGGCGACGUUGGUGCUUCUGGUGGUUGCGUUAAUACUUGCGAUGCCGCUGGUAUUUCUUCGUGUGCCACCGAACUUUCAGAUGUCUAUAAAAGGAAAAAAACAGUCUAAAACAAACAUUAAAUCACGCAAAAAAAUUAUACUAUAUGCUCGAAUUGUUCCUAAUUUUACUUUCUUUUCUGUCAAAUUUGUAAACUGUAAAAUAUAUAUAUAUAUUUAUUUUAUCUUAUUUUUUUUAUAUUAUUUACAUAUAAUAAUAAUAUGGCUCUCGAUUAAAAAUAAGGAACUCGGAAGUUAUAAAGAAAACUUUAAUCAGAAUGUAACAGUAAUGCGAGAGUACAAUCAAAUCUUAAUUCUCGAUAGCGUGUCGGUCGUAACUUCUACACGCGCCAUCUUGUCAGCGUCCCUCACCCCGCGGGAAGUGGGGCGACCAUCUACUUAAUGGCAGUCAGAUUCCCACAGAUAGAAAUAAAGAAAACUUGAAAUUAAACUAAGCUACUGAUAAACACAUUUUACACAUUAUGAGGAGCUUACCUGCGCAUUCAUAGAGUCCAUACUGCCCGAACUUGUCGCCCCUUUUACUAGGAAAAGCAGCGAAUCAUACGCAAACCAGUUACUUUUGUGAACAUCCCCACUUGCACUUCCUGUAGAUUUUGAGCUCGCUAUUUUUUUUCUCUCCCUGAGAAACUGAGACCUUAUGUUGUGUAUUUUUCCCUCGACGUCUUUUCUAGGUUUAUUUAAUGUAGUCGCGAUAGAUUCCCAUGCAUCAUUUUUUUUUAUUUUGUUUUUAUAAUCACUAUGUGAAGUGUCCCACAAUAUUUGCGAAUUUUGAUACAACUCGAUAAGGGUCAAUAUUUGCUCACUGGACCACACUACUGCCAUUUUUAGAACACAAAGCGACACACGUUCUCACUACUCAAAGCCUGUCCGGCGACUGUCGCGGGACACGGGAGUCGCGCAUGUCGACGCUCAGCGAGCGUCGACAUGCGACCUGUCCGGCGACACGUAAAUGUCCCCUGCGAUGUCGGGCGAUAUCGCGCGCGACGUCGCCCGACACGUAGAAUUGAUGUCGAGCGACAGAGUCGCGGGACAAAUGUCCCUUAGUGAAAACGCGGCUUUAAGCCACGGAUACACUAGGGGACAAAUGGAGCAACAUGUUGCGGAACAUGUUGCUCAACAACUACGUGGAAUGUGCCGAGAUACAUGUCGCGGAACAUUUUGUCGACCACACUUCUCAGUGUUUAUAGAAAUGUCGCCCGAGGAGGUUGUGGCUAUUAGUGCUGCGUACAUAGUAAUUAUAUCGAGUGUGUUGAAACGUAAGAGAAAGAGAAGGUGGUGGAUGCGGAAUUUCUUAUUACAACGAGAAAGAAGAGUAAAUAUUCUAAGUGAUCUCCGAAUGUCUGACGGAUCGUUUGUGAAUUUUACUCGCAUGUCAUCAUCUGAUUUUGAAACUUUGUUGCAAAUGAUCGCAUCUUCCAUAGCCAAACAGGAUACAAUAUUACGAAACGCUAUUAGUCCUCAUAUCAGACUUGCCAUUACAUUGAGGUACUUGUCGACUGGAGAUUCUUAUGCUUCUUUGUCGUACACUUUUCGAGUGUCAAAACAACUGAUACGUAAAAUAGUACCAGAAGUUUGUAAAGAACUGAUAAAUAAAUUGAAGAUAUGUGUAAAGGUAAGUUAAAGAAAACGCAUAUAUUUUAUUUAUAAUUGUAUUUUAAUCUUCAGUAAAAUAAAUUUUAAAGAGUACGAGAUGGAUAUAGCGACCAACGUAAAUUAAUUAGUAUUAGUGCCAUCAAUGCUAUUAGUGUUCGAGGAAUCCAUAGUUUCAAGUAUAUCUUGUAUAAUAUGCUCUUCAGAAGGCUCGGGGCUAAUAUCACUGGAUGCAGUGCUAUAGCCCUGUUGAACAACUGGCUGGCUUUGAUUAUUAUAAAUUGUACGGUAUUUUCCUAAGCGUGCAUCUAAUAAAAUAUUAUUAAUAUAAUAUUUAGCCAUAAUUACACUGUGUUCGUCAUUUAAUGCACGUAACUCAGUUCCUACGUACUGUCCAUAAACAUCGAAUUCAUCUCGGGACAUCAUUCUGUUUUUAGCAGCAUGCAGAACUUCAUAAGCCUCCUCUAAUCUAUCUUCAUUGGGGUGGCUCCUCUUGCGAGUUGGUCGCGACGAUGAAGGUGUUGGUGCAGGGGUUGUAGGUUGCUCUGCUUGAUCAAUGGUAGAUUGCGAUUCUAGUUGAUGAGGAGAUUGAAAUUCUGGAACGGUAGAUUGAGACUGUAGAACGACAUCUUCAUCCGGAGACGAAAUCGUGUUUUGGCUUUGUGGACUCUGAAAAAUUAAUGAUAUAAAUAUUAAAUCAAUUAUUAUAAUAAGGAUAGACUAUAAAACACGUAUUGUAUUAUUUCAAACAUCUGUUAGACAUGAAUCCUUAAUUAUUAGUACGUAAAAAUAGUAUUUAAUGUUUAAUAAUUUCUUUACAGGUCCCAGCUACUGCAAAUGAAUGGAAAGCCAAGGCUAGAAGCUUUGAAAAUAUAUGGAAUUUUCCGCAUUGCGUUGGAUCUAUAGACGGUAAACACGUUUUGAUCCAAGCUCCUUCGAAUUCUGGAAGUGACUAUUUUAACUAUAAAGAACAAUUUAGUAUUGUCCUAUUGGGUAUUGUCGAUGCAAAUUACAAUUUUAUCUAUGCAAAUUGUGGUGCUAAAGGAAAAUCUUCUGACAGUGGAGUAUUCCAAGAGACUGCUUUUUAUAAAGCUUUGGCUGAUAACCAACUCAACUGGCCGACUCCAGACCCAAUACGACAAGAUGGGCCGAAUAUGCCUUACGUACUUGUAGGAGACAGCGCCUUUGCACUGACAGAAAACAUGAUGAAGCCAUAUCCCGGUAAUCAUGACGUGGGUACAACAAGACGCAUUUUCAACUAUCGACUGUCAAGAGCUAGAAGAAUUGUCGAAAAUGUGUUCGGUAUCUUAGGUGUUGUAUUUCGUAUAUUCCGAACUCCCAUAACCAUCCUACCCUGUAAUGCUGAACUUGUUGUAAUGGCGUGCAUAUACCUCCAUAAUUUUUUAAGGCGAAAUAGUCAAUCGAGAUCACUGUACAACCCACAUGGAACUUUUGAUUCUGAAAAUGUGGAUCACGAUAUUUUAGAAGGAUCUUGGCGCAGAGAAGCUGGCUCUGUUAAUAUGUCGAAUUUAAAUGCUAUGGGACGACGCUACCCUGAAUCUGCUAUGGAAAUAAGAAACAAAUUUGCUGAAUAUUUCAUGAGUGAAGAAGGACGUGUUCCCUGGCAGAAUAAUUUUUAAAUGAAUAAACUAGUAUUGUACUAUA